AGCUUUGCGCAGUGGCAGUAUCAUAGCCAAUGAGGUUUAUCUGAGGCGCGAUUAUUGCUAAUUGAAAGAAAGUAAAACCCACCUCUCAAAGUAAACUGAAGCUGAAUUUUUAAAAAAGUGUCUCCUAAUAUUCUCAAUUCACU
ensembl:snRNA U4 U4 spliceosomal RNA